UGAACGCUGGCGGCGGCUUAACACAUGCAAGUCGAGCGGUAACAUUUCUAGCUUGCUAGAAGAUGACGAGCGGCGGACGGGUGAGUAACGCGUAGAAAUCUGCCAAGUAGUGGGGGACAACCAGUGGAAACGCUGGCUAAUACCGCAUACGCCCUACGGGGGAAAGGAGGGGAUCUUAGGACCUUUCGCUAUUUGAUGAGUCUGCGUGAGAUUAGCUAGUUGGUGGGGUAAAGGCCUACCAAGGCGACGAUCUCUAGCUGGUCUGAGAGGAUGAUCAGCCACACUGGGACUGAGACACGGCCCAGACUCCUACGGGAGGCAGCAGUGGGGAAUAUUGCACAAUGGGGGGAACCCUGAUGCAGCCAUGCCGCGUGUGUGAAGAAGGCCUUCGGGUUGUAAAGCACUUUCAGCAGUGAGGAAAGGUUAGUAGUUAAUACCUGCUAGCUGUGACGUUAACUGCAGAAGAAGCACCGGCUAACUCCGUGCCAGCAGCCGCGGUAAUACGGAGGGUGC
rnacentral:rRNA from 1 species